AAUAUUUUCUCAUGCGUUACAGGUUUCCAAAUUGAUCAUUACACAGCAGUAAUUUCUUCUGAUGCCAAUUGUAAACAGACCAAAGAAAAGCAAACAUGGCCAUGUCAGCAGCAGAGGCGGUCGGUAGUAGCCAACAGCAGGAGCAGGGCGGGGACUCGAUCGGGCAGGCAGCAGCGGCAGAGGUCUGCGUGGUCCUGGUGAAUGAAGCCAACAAUUAUCCUUCUUGAGGAUGUAAAGCAGGACCCAGCCCACUACCGGCAUCUCGAGGACCCACGCGAAGAACUUCACCAGAAGCCUGGCGACCCGAGGAGCUGCUCGCCAGAAUUCAGCAUUCAACAACAAGAAGAAAAUAGGAUGAGAAUUCAUAAUUCAGCAGGAACAAAUGUCGAACCUUUGACAUUGGGACAUACAGCAACCGCCGUGACUGUAAUUCAGCAACAACCGCUGACGGGGCAGGACUCGUUGUCCUCCUCGUCGUCCAUGGCGGAAAGCCCCAGCAACGAGCCGUUGGUGCUCCCGCCCUCCGACGACACAGAGAUGUCGACGACACAGACAUGGUGCCUAACACUGUGGGGUAACAUGAUAAAUAAAAUUUAUCUAGUUCUUAACCAUUUAUGUAGGGUUACAUGAUGUAUUCAACGACCCUGAGAAUAGUUUUUUUUAAACAAGGCAAAAGAUUUGCCAUUUCAUUGAUUAAGAAGGAGGUUUAGACAGGCCACUAAGUGGCUAGAAAUAAAGUCUAC